GACGUAGGGCGCGAGCGUUGUCCGGAAUUAUUGGGCGUAAAGAGCUCGUAGGCGGUCUGUCGCGUCGGUCGUGAAAACCUGCAGCUUAACUGUGGGCGUGCGGUCGAUACGGGCAUGACUGGAGUUCGGCAGGGGAGACUGGAAUUCCAGGUGUAGCGGUGAAAUGCGUAGAUAUCUGGAGGAAUACCGGUGGCGAAGGCGGCAUCCUGGACCGGCAUUGACGCUGAGGAGCGAAAGCCAGGGGAGCAAACGGG
rnacentral:rRNA from 1 species